rnacentral:rRNA from 1 species
AUUGAACGCUGGCGGCAUGCCUUACACAUGCAAGUCGAACGGUAACAGGUCUUCGGAUGCUGACGAGUGGCGAACGGGUGAGUAAUACAUCGGAACGUGCCUAGUAGUGGGGGAUAACUACUCGAAAGAGUGGCUAAUACCGCAUGAGAUCUACGGAUGAAAGCAGGGGAUCGCAAGACCUUGUGCUACUAGAGCGGCCGAUGGCAGAUCAGGUAGUUGGUGGGAUAAAAGCUUACCAAGCCGACGAUCUGUAGCUGGUCUGAGAGGACGAUCAGCCAGACUGGGACUGAGACGCGGCCCAGACUCCUACGGGAGUCAGCAGUGGGGAAUUUUGGACAAUGGGCGAAAGCCUGAUCCAGCAAUGCCGCGUGCAGGAUGAAGGCCUUCGGGUUGUAAACUGCUUUUGUACGGAACGAAAAGCCCCGGGUUAAUACCCUGGGGUCAUGACGGUACCGUAAGAAUAAGCACCGGCUAACUACGUGCCAGCAGCCGCCGUAA